UACGUAGGGUGCAAGCGUUGUCCGGAAUUAUUGGGCGUAAAGAGCUCGUAGGCGGUCUGUCGCGUCGAAUGUGAAAACCCGGGGCUCAACCCCGGGCCUGCAUUCGAUACUGUUCGACUCGAAGGCAGGAGAGGGAAGUGGAAUUCCGGGUGUAGUGGUGAAAUGCGUAGAUAUCAGGAGGAACACCAAUGGCGAAGGCAGCUCGCUGGGACGGUACUGACGCGUGAGACGCGAAAGCGUGGGGAGCAACAGG
rnacentral:rRNA from 1 species